rnacentral:misc_RNA from 1 species
CGGCUCCACGGCGAAGUCGCUGGAGAAGGAGACGCGCGGGCCCAGCGCGGCCGGCGGCUGCGGCCCGCCGCCGAACCCGGGCGCGCCGUCAGGGUUGUACAUGUUGAUGCACGCCAUCGCGCGGUGCUGUGCUGCUCUGGAUGUGGGCCGUGGGCGCGUGCUUCACUGACCUCCUUGCGCGCUUCCGCUCCUGCCUCCCUCUCGUGUGCUGUCGCCCUCGUCUUCCGCCGUGAGCUGAACAGAGGCAAGGCGAGCUGUGCUUCGCGUGCAGCAGCGCACGAUGUUGUGGUGGUGGAUUGGUGGGAGCUUUUAAAAGGUUUUUUU